UACAGAUGUCCCGAGCGUUGUUCGGAUUUACUGGGCGUAAAGGGUGUGUAGGAGGUAUGGUAAGUCAGCUGUGAAAUCUCUGAGCUCAACUCAGAAACUGCAGCCGAUACUGCCUUGCUAGAGGAUCGGAGAGGCGAGCGGAAUUCUCGGUGUAGCAGUGAAAUGCGUAGAUAUCGAGAGGAACACCAGCGGCGAAAGCGGCUCGCUAGACGAUAACUGACUCUGAAACACGAAAGCUAGGGGAGCAAACGGG
rnacentral:rRNA from 1 species